AUUGAACGCUGGCGGCAUGCCUUACACAUGCAAGUCGAACGGUAACAGGUUAAGCUGACGAGUGGCGAACGGGUGAGUAAUACAUCGGAACGUGCACAGUAGUGGGGGAUAGCCCGGCGAAAGCCGGAUUAAUACCGCAUACGACCUAAGGGUGAAAGGGGGGGAUCGCAAGACCUCUCGCUAUUGGAGCGGCCGAUGUCAGAUUAGCUAGUUGGUGGGGUAAAAGCUCACCAAGGCGACGAUCUGUAGCUGGUCUGAGAGGACGACCAGCCACACUGGGACUGAGACACGGCCCAGACUCCUACGGGAGGCAGCAGUGGGGAAUUUUGGACAAUGGGCGCAAGCCUGAUCCAGCCAUGCCGCGUGCGGGAAGAAGGCCUUCGGGUUGUAAACCGCUUUUGUCAGGGAAGAAAUCCUUUGGGUUAAUACCUCGGGGGGAUGACGGUACCUGAAGAAUAAGCACCGGCUAACUACGUG
rnacentral:rRNA from 1 species